GAUGAUUCAUGAUCAUCUAUCAACAAGUUUGGAUCAAAAAAAGGUUGAUCAACCUCAAGUCCAUCUAUCAAUGAUUUGAGGUGAGGAAGAAUUCAUCCACCAAGCUAUCAAACUCAAUUCAAAAACAUCAAAUGAUCAUCAAAAGAAAAUAAAAAUCAAUUAAUAAUGAUUUAAUAUUGAUUAAAUAAAGAAAAUAAAAGGGAAAAUGUCAAAGAGGGGUCAAAGCAUCAAACAAAAAUUC
rnacentral:lncRNA from 1 species